GAAUUUUCUCGUCAAAAACGGUGUUCCCAGUAUCCUCAAAUAAGUACGAGUGCAUCUAUUAAUAGCCCAAAGCAACAAAUGUCUAGAAAUGAGCCUACAGAGCGGAUGAAAUGGAUUUAAAAGUUCCGUUCGCUUCAAGCAAGCCAGCUGAAAACUCUAUUGAAAUGUUUCCUGGUGCUUGAUAUACAUGACUGUCAUUGAAGAAAAACAGAAGUUGAAAUUUUGCUGUGGAAACUUAAAACAAACAACCUAGUUGCUGGCCGGGUGGUACUUCAAGUUGGACGGGGAAAAAUUUCCAGUGCUGCCUGCCUUAGUUCUUCCGGAGGCUUCGACAAUUUCCUAUGUUUGCCGGAGUACUGUCCCCGUGCCACAGCUUCGUCCAUCCGGCUGACUUCAAUGUACAUCUACUGAAUGCUUCUAUUUAUGAAAGACUGCCGAGGGCUACUGAUUUCAACACUCCGGUUUGAUGGCCGCAUCUCAAGAAUUUUGCUGCAACGAUGGCUACUACUCCGCAUGCUACGG